AUUGAACGCUGGCGGCAGGCCUAACACAUGCAAGUCGAGCGGAUGAAGGGAGCUUGCUCCUGGAUUCAGCGGCGGACGGGUGAGUAAUGCCUAGGAAUCUGCCUGGUAGUGGGGGAUAACGUCCGGAAACGGGCGCUAAUACCGCAUACGUCCUGAGGGAGAAAGUGGGGGAUCUUCGGACCUCACGCUAUCAGAUGAGCCUAGGUCGGAUUAGCUAGUUGGUGAGGUAAAGGCCUACCAAGGCGACGAUCCGUAAUUGGUCUGAGAGGAUGAUCAGUCACACUGGAACUGAGACACGGUCCAGACUCCUACGGGAGGCAGCAGUGGGGAAUAUUGGACAAUGGGCGAAAGCCUGAUCCAGCCAUGCCGCGUGUGUGAAGAAGGUCUUCGGAUUGUAAAGCACUUUAAGUUGGGAGGAAGGGCAGUAAGUUAAUACCUUGCUGUUUUGACGUUACCAACAGAAUAAGCACCGGCUAACUUCGUG
rnacentral:rRNA from 1 species